rnacentral:tRNA from 1 species
GGAGGUACAGCUCAGGGGUAAAGCACAUGCUUGUCAUGCACAAGGUCCUGGGUUCAAUCUCCAGUGCCUACA